rnacentral:rRNA from 1 species
UUGGCCUUGACAUACUAAGAACUUUCCAGAGAUGGAUUGGUGCCUUCGGGAACUUAGAUACAGGUGCUGCAUGGCUGUCGUCAGCUCGUGUCGUGAGAUGUUGGGUUAAGUCCGCAACGAGCGCAACCUUUUCCUAUUUGCCAGCGGGUUAAGCCGGGAACUUUAAGGAUACUGCCAGUGACAAACUGGAGGAAGGCGGGGACGACGUCAAGUCAUCAUGGCCCUUACGGCCAGGGCUACACACGUGCUACAAUGGUCGGUACAAAGGGUUGCUACCUCGCGAGAGGAUGCUAAUCUCAAAAAGCCGAUCGUAGUCCGGAUCGCAGUCUGCAACUCGACUGCGUGAAGUCGGAAUAGCUAGUAAUCGCGGAUCAGAAUGCCGCGGUGAAUACGUUCCCGGGCCUUGUACACACCGCCCGUCACACCAUGGGAGUUUGUUGCACCAGAAGUAGGUAGUCUAACCGCAAGGAGGACGCUUACCACGGUGUGGCUGAUGACUGGGGUGAAGUCGUAACAAGGUAGGCGUAGAUGA